CAUUAUUCACAUAGAAGUGCAGGUAUUGUACUUGAGUGGUAUAAUAAUUGUUUGUCAAACAGGUGCGAGAAAAUGACUUUCCAUGAAAAUGGCAGUCAUGGAAAUAAUAAGAAAGAUAUAAAUGUAGAUAGGUGAGGGGGGGGGGGGGGGAGAGAUUUGGAGUCUAUAAUAAGAACUUUAUUGACCAAAAGUGACUCUUCUUCCCAUAAAAUAAGGAUUGCAAUUGCAGUUGCCAACACCACAACACUACUCCUUAUUUUGGGCCUUUAUUUUUCCAACUUCCAAGCAUUUAGCCUUCUUUACUUCUUUUUGACCUAUUUUCUUUUGUUCCUUGUUGGUCAUGUUGUAACUCUUAGCUUUAUGCGUUCAGUUCCUUGAUUUGGUUUGGUUUAAGCAUUUUGGGUUCUUUUCACUUUUGAGAAAUGAGUCGGAGUUAGAAAACCACAUUUUAUUUUGGUUUUGGUUUGGAUAUAAUCGUA